rnacentral:lncRNA from 1 species
CUGGUGCACACAGACGCUGCUCAGGCACUGGGGAAAAGGCGAGUGGAUGUCGAGGACCUGGGCGUGGACUUCCUGACCAUCGUGGGGCAUAAGGCCUCUCCCAACACAGGACUGGACCAGGAGUCUAACACUGCUGGUCCUCAGGCUGAGCUGGACCCUGGACCCUGGCUCUUGUGACUCUCACACGCCAAAGUAGUAGCAGAAAGACAGCCCAGGCCACAAGGAAACAGCAGGAGCUUCCCCAGAGCUACCCGGAGCACUUUGUGCCUCUCGCACUCAGACACAGCGGAGCAGGUGACCCGGCAGCUCCCAGUGAGUAAACGACUGGUUUUCCCUUCCAGUUCUACGGCCCCAGGAUCGGUGCUCUGUAUGUGCGA